CGCGCUGGUGCUGAAACAAGAUGGCUGUGCGCGCGAGAGGAGCGGAGGAGAGCUGAGGGAUGCAGAGACAGGGAGAGAGACGGCAAAGUGAGGGGAGCCUUUCAACAGCAAAAUAAAUAGCCAUAUCCGUGAAGAACGCACGGAUUCCCUUGUAAUUAUGUCUUCGAAUCAAUUUUCUGUCCACUAUGGCAAUAUUUAGCUUAUGUUUAGACGUACAUCUGUAGCCUACGCCGGGAGGUAACUGAGGAGUAGCCAAGCGAAGCAGUGAAGACCCAGCCGGCCGGUAGAGGACAGCCGGGGACGCUCAGCGCUGCUGUCAGAGAUGUCCCUGCUCUGUGUCGGAGUGAAGAAAGCCAAGCUGGAUGGAGCCCAAGAGAAGUUCAACACGUAUGUGACCCUGAGGUGCAAAUGUGAAGAGCACAACCAUCGCUGUCCGGGAAGCCUGCCCAGCUGGGAGCAGGACUUCA